CCUACGGGAGGCAGCCGUGGGGAAUAUUGGACAAUGGGGGAAACCCUGAUCCAGCGACGCCGCGUGAGUGAAGAAGUCUCUCGGUAUGUAAAGCUCUAUCUGCAGGAAAGAAAAUGACGGUACCUGUCUAAGAAGCACCGGAUAACUACGUGCCAGCAGCCGCCGUACUACGUCGGGGGCAAGCGUUAUCCGGAUUUACUGGGUGUAAAGGGGGCGUAGACGGCAGCGCAAGUCUGAAGUGAAAUGCCGGGGCCUAACCCCGGAACUGCUCUGGAAACUGUGAAGCUGGAGUGCAGAUGAGGUAGGCGGAAUGCCUGGUGUAGCGGUGAAAUGCGUAGAUAUCAGAAGGAACACCGACGGCGAAGGCAGCUUACUGGUCUAUAACUGACGUUGAGGCUCGAAGGCGUGGGGAGCAAACAGGAUUAGAUACCCUUGUAGUC
rnacentral:rRNA from 1 species